GAAAGUAUGUAGGUAGGAAUGCUAGGCAAAUCCGGUGUUCUGUUGAUCUGAGAUACGAGACGAAGUUAAACUUGUUUGACGAAGCUAUUGAUACCAUGCUUCCAGGAAAAGCUUCUAAGUAUAUUGUAUAAGUGACCGUACUGUAAACCGACACUGGUGGGUAGGUAGAGAAUACUAAGGCUAUGAGAUAACUCUGGUGAAGGAACUAGGCAAAAUGACACCGUAACUUUGGAAGAAGGUGUGCCCUUGAUGGUGAUGAGACUUGCUCUUUGAGCUGUUGGGGGUUGCAGAUACCAGGUGGCUGCGACUGUUUAUCAAAAACACAGCACUCUGCGAAAUCGUAAGAUGAAGUAUAGGGUGUGACGCCUGCCCGGUGCUGGAAGGUUAAUUGAAGGGGUUAGCGCAAGCGAAGCUCUGGAUCGAAGCCCCAGUAAACGGCGGCCGUAACUAUAACGGUCCUAAGGUAGCGAAAUUCCUUGUCGGGUAAGUUCCGACCUGCACGAAUGGCGUAACGAUGGCCACACUGUCUCCACCAGAGACUCAGUGAAAUUGAAAUCGCUGUGAAGAUGCAGUGUACCCGCGGUUAGACGGAAAGACCCCGUGAACCUUUACUAUAGCUUUGCACUGGACUUUGAAUAUUUAUGUGUAGGAUAGGUGGGAGACCAUGAAGCAGCUACGCCAGUAGUUGUGGAGUCGUCCUUGAAAUACCACCCUUGAAUAUUUGAAGUUCUAAC
rnacentral:rRNA from 1 species